rnacentral:rRNA from 1 species
UGCGUAGGUGGUUAGGUAAGACCUGUGGGAAAGACCUGGGCUUAACCCAGGAAGGUCGCAGGUGACUGCCUGGCUAGAGGGCGGGAGAGGAGCGCGGAAUUCCCGGUGUAGCGGUGAAAUGCGUAGAGAUCGGGAGGAAGGCCGGUGGCGAAGGCGGCGCUCUGGAACGCUCCUGACACUGAGGCACGAAAGCGUGGGGAGCAAACAGGAUUAGAUACCCUGGUAGUCCACGCCCUAAACGAUGGGUACUAAGUGUCGGCGGGUUACCGCCGGUGCCGCACCUAACGGAGUAAGUACCCCGCCUGGGGAGUACGGCCGCAAGGUUGAA